rnacentral:lncRNA from 1 species
GUGGGGCGCACACAGGCACAAAUUUCUCAAAGGUCAGUCAGCAAAGUGGUGGCUACAACGGUCCUUGCCAGGCCAACAGUGCAGCCGCUCAGCCGUGACACUGCACAGGUGGCCGAAAUCGGAGGCCUCAUGAUAGGAUUAAUGACCUUGUAAGAAGAUACCAGAGCCUGAUUUCUUCCUCGCCCUCUCUUCUGCCACGUGAGACAGCCAUCUGCAAACCGGAAGGAAAACCCUCCACUCACCUCGAUCUUAGACUCCCGGCCUCCAGACCUGGGAGAAAUAAACGUUUGCCACUCA